GACUUCGCCUGGAGACGUCCCCUACAUGGGAGACGGAGGGGGGGGACAAAACCAGGGGGGGACGAGGGUGGGGGGAAGACCUAUCCAAUGAAAACCGCUGCCAGGGGGGCAUCCGAACUCCGCUGCUCGCUGUCGCGCGUCCCCUCGCCGCCCCGCGCACCUCUCUCCCCUCCCGCCCCGCGCUCUCGGGCGCGCUCGCUCCCUCGCUCUCCCGCUGCCCGACGAGUCCUCAACAAGUUGGAGGAAGGCAGGAGCGCAGGGGUUAAGCUCGGAAAGCAGCAAUUACCAAGAUCGUGACCCUCCCACACAGUACAGUAACUUAUAUACUUACCUGCAAGAGCCCGCUUGCCGCUGGGCAAACACCCGUGGGGGGCAGGGAGGGCUGGGAGGGGAGCGGGCCGACCGGAGACAGCUCCUUCCAGCCGGCUGCGGCGCAGACGGGACCGGCGCGCUCUCUGGCCUCCGGGACCCAGGUGGUCAGCUUGUCCUCUUCCCAGAGGUCCGCCUAAAGGGCGACUGUCCUCAGAGGUCACAGAAGCAGAAGAGCCUGGACAAAUGAGCUCAGCAGUCCCAGGAAUCUCCUGCUGAAGAAAGAAUCUAAAGAGAUGCAUAAGUUCCAGGGACUUUUCCUCUCAGACUAAUAACACCAAGAUAGAUUUGACUCUAUUUAUUUAUGUUCAUUAUUUUUUCCCCACAUGAACAUGUGUGUCUUCUUCAAAGAUUCUGGGUUAGAAUUUUUUAUUUUCCUGGUGCUGGUUGAAGAAGAAUCUCAAACAGUGAUGCUGGGGUUCUGUUAGUUUGUUUGUUUCAUGAAGAAUUUCAGAUUGUACUUGACAACUUAUGCCUCCUAUAAAAUCAAGAAAUAUUCUUUUACGCUGGUAUGUGUUAAAAUUCUUUCCCAACUGACACUGCACCAAAGAAAUUGAGCCACCUUGGGCUAUACAUUUUUGGUUAAAUAUUUGAGAACUAUGAUUUUGAGAGUCACUGACAGUAAUAAUAAUUAACUAAAAAAUGUCUUACUGAAGGGUCAGUUGAAUAUUGA
rnacentral:lncRNA from 1 species